rnacentral:rRNA from 1 species
CCUACGGGCGGCAGCAGUAGGGAAUCUUCCACAAUGGGCGAAAGCCUGAUGGAGCAACGCCGCGUGGGUGAAGAAGGUCUUCUGAUCGUAAAACCCUGUUGUUAGAGAAGAAAGUUCGUGAGAGUAACUGUUCACGUUUCGACUGUAUCUAACCAGAAAGUCACGGCUAACUACGUGCCAGCAGCCGCGGUAAUACGUAGUGGGCAAACGUUAUCCGGAUUUAUUGGGCGUAAAGGGAACGCAGGCGGUCUUUUAAGUCUGAUGUGAAAGCCUUCGGCUUAACCGGAGUAGUUCAUUGGAAACUGGGGGACGUGAGUGCAGAAGAGGAGAGUGGAAGUACAUGUGUAGCGGUGAAAUGCGUAGAUAUAUGGAAGAACACCAGUGGCGAAAGCGGCUCUCUGGUCUGUAACUGACGCUGAGGUUCGAAAGCGUGGGUAGCAAACAGGAUUAGAUACCCGGGUAGUC